rnacentral:lncRNA from 1 species
GGGCUUGACAAAGUAGUCGAAGGUGGGGCUGUUGUCUUGACACUCAAAGAUCAGAGCAUACUUGCUGGUGAUGAUGUUAAUCAAGGUAACCAAAUAAGUGAUAUGUUUAUAUUUUCUCUUGUUUUAUCUCUGCUUUCAGCCUUCAGUAUUGUGGAUUCGGAUUUUGUAGUGACUUGAAUUGUAUACCCCAGAGGUUGAUGUGCUUGAAAAUGUGGAGAUCGGAGAACAGAAGCGAAGGGAUGAUGCUUACAAGGCUGCAAAAAAUAAAACAGGGAUCUAUGAUGACAAGUGAGAUUUAAUAUACCUGUAAUCACCACUUCUUUGUUAUGUUUGAAUGACUAAUAUAUCUCGUUAUGAUUGGAUGUAGGUUCAAUGAUGAACCUGGUUUUGAAAGGAAAAUAUUACCAAAGUAUGAUGACCCGGCAGAAGAGGAGGUUUAACUCUUUGUUUCCCUUUUCUUUUUUAAUUAUUGGAAAAUAUUGUAUUUCCUGAAUAUUGUUUAAUAGCAUUUCGUCCUCAAUUUAAGAAGAAUCCAAUCUGUCUUUCUUACCCUAGAUUUUCUUUUAGGGAGUUAUUCUUGAUGCAACUGGAGGUUUCAGUCUUGAUGCAGAGAAGAAACUGGAGGAGGUAAGCCAUUCUUAUCUAUUUAAUCAUGUAUGGUUUCAAGACUGUAUGUCAGGUUACAUUUGUUAACAGAGUUACCCUUUUUGAUUACCAGCUACGGAGAAGGAUUCAGGGGCCUUCCUCAAUAAAUCGGAUGGAAGACCUCAACUCUUCUGGGAAAUUAUUGUCCGACUACUAUACUCAAGAGGAAAUGGUUCAAUUUAAGAAGCCCAAGAAGAAAAAAUCACUGAGGAAGAAAGAGAAGAUGGAUCUAGAUGCCCUUGAAGCGGAGGCCAAAUCUGCUGGAUUGGGUGUCAGUGAUCUUGGUUCUCGCAAUGAUAAGACAAGGCAGGUCCUUAAGGAAGAAAAGGAGAGAGCAGAUGCAGAGACGAGGAGCAAUGCUUACCAGGCUGCUUAUGCCAAGGCUGAAGAGGCAUCCAAAGCACUUCGACCCAAUAAAACUA